UACGAAGGGGGCUAGCGUUGUUCGGAAUCACUGGGCGUAAAGCGCACGUAGGCGGAUCUUUAAGUCAGGGGUGAAAUCCCGAGGCUCAACCUCGGAACUGCCUUUGAUACUGGGGGUCUCGAGUCCGGGAGAGGUGAGUGGAAUUCCUAGUGUAGAGGUGAAAUUCGUAGAUAUUAGGAAGAACACCAGUGGCGAAGGCGGCUCACUGGCCCGGUACUGACGCUGAGGCGCGAAAGCGUGGGGAGCAAACAGG
rnacentral:rRNA from 1 species